rnacentral:misc_RNA from 1 species
AACCUAGCACACCUGCGGUGUGUACCUGCGGAAGGAUCAUUAUCGAGUUACACGACUCCAACCCUUUGUGAACAUACCUCUGUUGCUUCGGCGGACCCGCCCCGGCGCCAACGGCCCGGAACCAGGCGACCGCCGGGGGACCCAAACCUCUGUAUCUACGAGUAUUCUGAGUGGCGUACGCGCAAAUCAAAUCAAAACUUUCAGCAACGGAUCU